rnacentral:hammerhead_ribozyme from 1 species
AUCCAGUGACGAGUGCCAAAUAGGACGAAAUGCGCAUCCUGGAU